rnacentral:rRNA from 1 species
UCACUAGUAAUCGCGAAUCAGAAUGUCGCGGUGAAUACGUUCCCGGGUCUUGUACACACCGCCCGUCACACCAUGGGAGUCAGUAACGCCCGAAGCCGGUGACCCAACCUAUUCUGGAGGGAGCCGUCGAAGGCGGGACGGAUGACUGGGGUGAAGUCGUAACAAGGUACC